rnacentral:rRNA from 1 species
UGCCGCGUGCAGGAAGACUGCCCUAUGGGUUGUAAACNNNNUUUUAUANNNGGAAGAAACACUGCUACGUGUAGCAGCUUGACGGUACUGUAAGAAUAAGGAUCGGCUAACUCCGUGCCAGCAGCCGCGGUAAUACGGAGGAUCCAAGCGUUAUCCGGAAUCAUUGGGUUUAAAGGGUCCGUAGGUGGAUAAUUAAGUCAGAGGUGAAAUCCUGCAGCUCAACUGUAGAAUUGCCUUUGAUACUGGUUAUCUUGAGUUAUUAUGAAGUAGUUAGAAUAUGUAGUGUAGCGGUGAAAUGCAUAGAUAUUACAUAGAAUACCAAUUGCGAAGGCAGAUUACUAAUAAUAUACUGACACUGAUGGACGAAAGCGUGGGGAGCGAACAGGAUUAGAUACCCUGGUAGUCCANU